rnacentral:rRNA from 1 species
GUCCACGCUGUAAACGAUGGGUGCUAGGUGUCGGGGGUAUCGACCCCUCCGGUGCCGUCGCUAACGCAAUAAGCACCCCGCCUGGGGACUACGGCCGCAAGGCUAAAACUCAAAGGAAUUGACGGGGGCCCGCACAAGCAGCGGAGCGUGUGGUUUAAUUCGAUGCAACGCGAAGAACCUUACCCGGACUUGACAUGCAGGUGGUACCGCGGCGAAAGCCAAGGGACCCGCAAGGGAGCCUGUGCAGGUGCUGCACGGCUGUCGU